CGAUCAGGCGAUGAAGGACGUGGUAAGCUGCGAAAAGCUUCGGGGAACUGCACACGAGUUUUGAUCCGGAGAUAUCCGAAUGGGGAAACCCAGUGGAAGUAAUGUUCCACUAUCCCGUACUGAAUCCAUAGGUGCGGGAAGCGAGACGCGGGGAAGUGAAACAUCUCAGUACCCUUAGGAAAAGAAAUCAAUUGAGAUUCCCUCAGUAGCGGCGAGCGAACGGGGAUCAGCCCAUUAAGUUAUGUGUGUUUUAGUGGAACGCUCUGGGAAGUGCGAACGUAGAGGGUGAUAUUCCCGUACACGAAAGGGCACACAUAAUGAUGACGAGUAGGGCGAGGCACGUGAAACCUUGUCUGAAUAUGGGGGGACCAUCCUCCAAGGCUAAAUACUCCUGACUGACCGAUAGUGAACCAGUACCGUGAGGGAAAGGCGAAAAGAACCCCUGUGAGGGGAGUGAAAUAGAUCCUGAAACCGCAUGCAUACAAGCAGUGGGAGCACCUUCGUGGUGUGACUGCGUACCUUUUGUAUAAUGGGUCAGCGACUUAUAUUCAGUAGCGAGGUUAACCGUAUAGUGGAGCCGUAGAGAAAUCGAGUCUUAAUAGGGCGUUUAGUUGCUGGGUAUAGACCCGAAACCAGGCGAUCUAUCCAUGAGCAGGUUGAAGGUUGGGUAACACUAACUGGAGGACCGAACCCACUGUCGUUGAAAAGCCAGGGGAUGACUUGUGGAUAGGGGUGAAAGGCUAAUCAAGCCUGGUGAUAGCUGGUUCUCCCCGAAAGCUAUUUAGGUAGCGCCUCGUGAACUCAUCUUCGGGGGUAGAGCACUGUUUCGGCUAGGGGGUCAUCCCGACUUACCAACCCGAUGCAAACUACGAAUACCGAAGAAUGUUAUCACGGGAGACACACGGCGGGUGCUAACGUCCGUCGUGAAGAGGGAAACAACCCAGACCGCCAGCUAAGGUCCCAAAGUCAUGGUUAAGUGGGAAACGAUGUGGGAAGGCACAGACAGCCAGGAUGUUGGCUUAGAAGCAGCCAUCAUUUAAAGAAAGCGUAAUAGCUCACUGGUCGAGUCGGCCUGCGCGGAAGAUGUAACGGGGCUAAACCAUGCACCGAAGCUGCGGCAGCGACACUAUGUGUUGUUGGGUAGGGGAGCGUUCUGUAAGCCGUUGAAGGUGUAUUGUGAGGUAUGCUGGAGGUAUCAGAAGUGCGAAUGCUGACGUGAGUAACGACAAAACGGGUGAAAAACCCGUUCGCCGAAAGACCAAGGGUUCCAGUCCAACGUUAAUCGGGGCUGGGUGAGUCGACCCCUAAGGCGAGGCCGAAAGGCGUAGUCGAUGGGAAAAUGGUUAAUAUUCCAUUACUUCUGUGUAAUGCGAUGAGAGGACGGAGAAGGCUAAAUCAGCCUGGCGUUGGUUGUCCAGGUGAAAGGAUGUAGGCAUGUAUCUUAGGCAAAUCCGGGGUACUCUAUGCUGAGAUCUGAUAGCAAGCUGUACUUGUACAGCGAAGUGGUUGAUGCCAUGCUUCCAGGAAAAGUCUCUAAGCUUCAGUUACACAGGAAUCGUACCCGAAACCGACACAGGUGGUCAGGUCGAGUAGACCAAGGCGCUUGAGAGAACUCUGCUGAAGGAACUAGGCAAAAUGGUACCGUAACUUCGGGAGAAGGUACGCUGUUGUUGGUGAUGGAACUCGCUUCCUGAGCUGACGACAGCCGCAGAAACCAGGCCGCUGCAACUGUUUAUUAAAAACAUAGCACUCUGCAAACACGAAAGUGGACGUAUAGGGUGUGAUGCCUGCCCGGUGCUGGAAGGUUAAUUGAUGGGGUUAGCGUAAGCGAAGCUCUUGAUCGAAGCCCCAGUAAACGGCGGCCGUAACUAUAACGGUCCUAAGGUAGCGAAAUUCCUUGUCGGGUAAGUUCCGACCUGCACGAAUGGCAUAAUGAUGGCGGCGCUGUCUCCAGCAGAGGCUCAGUGAAAUCGAAAUCGCUGUGAAGAUGCAGUGUACCCGCGGCUAGACGGAAAGACCCCGUGAACCUUUACUGCAGCUUGACACUGAACUUUGACCUUA
rnacentral:rRNA from 1 species